rnacentral:ncRNA from 1 species
UUUAAAGCCAUAAGGAAACUAGCUUAAUUUCGAAAUCAAUUUCAGAGAGCCGAUGGUUGGUGUGAAUCGGUAUUGUGACUUUUAAGCGACUCAUUUCUUUGCAGCUGCUCAGAAAAACCGAAGGUUGUGUAAGUGCAGACGGAAAACUCCGUUAUCAGUUAAAGGCUUGUUGGAGCUUGAUUAAGGUGGUCUAUUUGAGUAUAGACAAUCAGGGUGGUACCGCGAGGAGUAACCUCGUCCCUGUA